rnacentral:rRNA from 1 species
AAUUUUAUCGAUUUGGUUAAAUUUUAGGUAAAAUUAAAAUUUAUGGUUUGGAAAUUUUUGUGUCAUUAAGACUUUUGAAAGCGAAUUAGAUUAGUACCUAAUUAGUAAAAAAUUAAAUAUUCAGGAGUAAAGUGGUAUUUAAACUGAAAGAAUAUUGGCAGAUUUUCUAAAUUAUCUUUGGAGGUUGAGUGAUAAUUGAGAACCCUCAUUAACUACUUAAUUUUUUGGCUUAUGUAUGAUCGUUUAUUUUAAGCUUAAGGUUUAGGAUUAUAGGUUUAUUAUUGACUGUAAAAAUAGAUAUAUAUUUGGUUGAUAAUUAAGUUAAUUUGACCUACAAUAUUUUGAAUUAUGGAUUAUUAGUUAGUAUAAUAUGAAAUUGUAAAAGACAGUAAGAAAGUUUUUAUGUCUUUCUGAAGAGUAUUUAGAGAUGG